rnacentral:rRNA from 1 species
AGUGAACGCUGGCGGUAGGCCUAACACAUGCAAGUCGAACGGCAGCACAGUAAGAGCUUGCUCUUACGGGUGGCGAGUGGCGGACGGGUGAGGAAUACAUCGGAAUCUACUUUUUCGUGGGGGAUAACGUAGGGAAACUUACGCUAAUACCGCAUACGACCUACGGGUGAAAGCAGGGGAUCUUCGGACCUUGCGCGAUUGAAUGAGCCGAUGUCGGAUUAGCUAGUUGGCGGGGUAAAGGCCCACCAAGGCGACGAUCCGUAGCUGGUCUGAGAGGAUGAUCAGCCCCACUGGAACUGGGACACGGUCCAGACUCCUACGGGAGGCAGCAGUGGGGAAUAUUGGACAAUGGGCGCAAGCCUGAUCCAGCCAUACCGCGUGGGUGAAGAAGGCCUUCGGGUUGUAAAGCCCUUUUGUUGGGAAAGAAAAGCAGCAGGUUAAUACCCCGCUGUUCUGACGGUACCCAAAGAAUAAGCACCGGCUAACUUCGU